AGGUUUUGUUUGGUCUCAGGUGUGGGUUUAGAGACAGAACCUGUGAGAAGUGUUUGCUGCUACCCUGCUUCAGUGCUAAGAUACCAACAGAGACGCCAUUGACAACAUGGCCACUACUGUGUGACAUGCAGAAGAUGAGCCUGGAGGCUGUGCUGGAGCAGACAUCAGCCGUAUGCUGCUUUCAGUGGGACCCCCAACGCCCGCAGCUGGCUCCGUUUACGGGCAACAGCAAACUCUAUCUCUGGUCCCCAGGAGGAUGUGUUUCUGUUCAAGUCCCAGCUGAAGGUGGCGUUCAGGUCCAGUCUCCGAUGUGGCACAGCAGUGGAGAGAGACUGAUCCUGCUCGGAAAGGAGCAGCUUUGUUUGUGCUACAUGGACACUGAUCAGGAAGAAACAUGAAAUACACAACAGUUAUUCUAAGAGGGUUUUGGUCAUAGUUCAGGUUUAUGAAGGCUUACAUUUAUGCUUAAAUUAAGACUAAUGAAAACACUCCUGCUGAACCUGUCCACAAACCUGGUUCCUUGGGUUGCACCAAAGGCUUUCCAGCCCAUUUCACAAAGUUUUAAAAGACUUUUUAUGGAUCAGAUGGGAAUGGAAAAACAUCAAUUUUAGAUUUUUUUUUUCAGUUAAAUCCCAAGCUUCAGCCAUUUUGUCUUCUGUAGAUGUAACUUCAAGACAUCUGUCUGUUUUUUUCUCUCUGUCUUAAUGUCCAAAGAUACCUUGUUAGGUCUGGGUCCAGGACUAAAGGGUUUUACUUUGAAAGGAAAUCAGCUAAAGAGUCUUCCUGAUCUGAGUUCACUCACCGGCCUGGAGGUGGUGGACCUACGUGACUGUGCUCUGCUGCCCCACACUUGCCUCUUUUAAAGUUUAAUGACUACAACAGUUCUGAUCAUUGCAGAUUUUCUGGCCUAAACACUAAAGUUACGUGUUGUUUCUGGUGAUUAGUUUAACAUUAAAGUGGUUUAAUCAGCAACAUUAAGUUAUUCUGCACACCUUAAUGCAUAUGCAUCCAUUGGGUUUCUUGUUGGCAACAUGUUAAAUUUACUUGUAGCUACUUUUAAAAUGUGGUUGCAGGAAAGAAAGUAAAGUUUAGUACCAUUUUUGUUGUAAGCAUUUUUUCCUACUUCAUGCUAAACUUAGCUGAAUAUUUUUAGCUUGAAGUUGGCUGAUGCUGCAUUUUCUUCUGCAUAAGACCCUCUUUUCCUUCACGUUAAUAAAAAGAAUAACCAGUUUGAGCCGGUCUAAGUCGUGGCCUGUAUUGUCAAAACCAUCAGUGCCGCAGUGGGAUUUCCUCUUUGAUUACCUGCAGCCUGUGGAGAGCUCAGGCUGCCGCAGUUUCUCAACACAAGCUGUAAUCUAUAGUUACAUAAUCUUAUUCUUUUUCCAGACCCACACUUCCUACACACACACACACACACACACAUGCACACCACAGAAAGUGUAAUUGCCAAUCUUGAGGCCUUGCAGAUCACAUGAAAUGAGCCGCUCAACAUUGCUCAUUACUGUGAUUUCAUUUUUUAUUCCUCUCCCAUCAUAAGUAUGAUUCAUUAAGUGAGUUGUGAAUUCUCAUAAAUACAAAGGGAGUAAGAGCUUAACGUGCAGAGGGAGGGUGAGAGUCAGCCAGGGAGGUGUGUGUGUAUUACCCAACAACCCCAGAAGAGCUGAGUAUUAAUAACCACAGAGGCAACAUGUUUCUGGUUGUGUAUGUGUAUGAGUUAACUGUGUCUGGUUUUACAAUAUGUCUGCAGACAAAGAGCUGGAAAGUCUAAAGCAAAUAUUUCAUCACAAUAAAACUACUCCAUUUAACAAAUUA